UUUGAAAAGAUUUUAUGCUUUUUUGCAUUUUAGGUUAGUAUUUGUAGUUUUAGGAAAGAAUUGACAUAAUUGAUUAAAUAUAAUCAUAAAUCUCAAAUCAAAUAAUUUUAAUUUUGGGGUUUUGAUUAUUUUAAUUAAUUAUGAUUAAUUUGAUUUUAUGCAUUCUUUAACUUUUUAACCUAAUCUCCCCUCUUAUAAAUAUUCACUCUUUUCACACAUAUAGGGGUGGAUCCCGAACCCUUAUUCCAAUGGCUCGCUCUCACGGACAAUACAUACAAAACUUCUUUCUUAGAUCGAAGUUUUUUGUCUCUUUUGAGUCAAACCCUCAACCCUUGAACUUUCUGCAACAACAAGAAUCCACCAUUUUAUUUGUUGCAGGUAAAGAGGAAAAGAAGAAGAUUCUAAACGGCAGCAAACUCCGACUACGAUGUCGCCUCCUCACGGUCCAGACGAUCUCCAUCGAAGCCAACGCUGGAACCCUCCACCGUGCCCAAUCACCACCGCUCGCCGCCAUUAGAACCACUCUAUCUUCCGCCGAUUGUGUUGUUGUGUUUACCAUGAUUCAGUUUUUUUUCUUUGUUUUGCUGUAGGUAUAUUAGGAGAAAUUAGAACAAAAGGAUUAAAAGAAGACGAAUUUGGGGCCAAUCACAAAUCUGUGAUGAACUCGCCACUCCAAAAGCUCGACGUCACCAUCGGAAAUCCGCUGUUCGAUCACUGGAUCACAUCCUUGGCCGCCAGCGAUCAUCACCUCCGACCCGCAAUUGCGGAUCUCCGGCGCAGCCGCUCUCACCGUGUUCCAUCCAGGUUUCUGUUAAAAAAGAUUCAAGAGGUCAUCCAUGGCUCUGUCAACAGCCGAAGAUCCCUCCGCCCUCGCCGAAGAAUCUGAUCCCCGCAACAGCCGGUCGGAGCUUCCCCCAGCGCAAAUCACGCACCAUCCUCCUCCACCGAAUCUGCACUGUAUCUAGCUAUUUGCCACUGUCAAUUCCAUACAGCCACCACAACAGGUUACACUUUUGUUUUUAGUUCAUUGGAGGCUAGUUUAAUUUGAUUAAUUGGUAGUAAUCGCAUAUGAUUAUUUGUGUGUUUGUGCUUUAUGUGGUUGUUUAAUCUAUGAGAUAGAAAGAAGAUUGAGAGAAGGGAAUUGGUGAGGUUUCUUUUGUGUUUGAAAACAUGGCGUGAGAUGUGAAAGAACUAGACAAACUGGACUUUUCUUCUUUUAAUGACUCUAAUCUUUGCUUAUUUAAUGUUUCUAUCAAUUUUGAAAUUAAAUAACUUAGAUCUUUUUUUUUAAAACGUGUUUGUACGUUGGUUUUCCUUUUCAUUCAUAUUAGGAUUUCUAUCCAUUAUUUUUAAAUGCCAUUUUUUUAAAUAAAUAAUAAUAAUUAAAUGGUAUGGUUUUAGGUAAAUGGUUUAGACAUUCCUAUAUGUUUCCAUACUUCUUACUUAAAUUGUUUUUUUUAAUUAGUAUAAUUAAUUUCUUUUAUUCUAAUUUUCAUUUAUUUAGAAGUCAUUUAAUUAGAUACUUUAAUUUUCUCUUAAUUUUUCUUAAUGUUCUUUUAGAAUUUUAUGUAAUAACUUCAAUUUUCUUUUAGUCAAUUAUUGUUUAUAUUCUUGUCAUUUUAUUUAUGUAUCCUUAUACAUAUAUCAGUUGCUAACACUUUCUUGUUUAUUACGAGGUACAUCCGAGCUGUUCAUCUAUUCUUGCAAAUAUUCGCAAAUUCAUCCUCAAUCUCCUACCAUCCAGAUCUAACGCACACAAAGCUGAAGGUUUACCAUGCACCCUCAAAGGCUGCCACAAUGAACCAAAGCUAAGUCCUGACUCUAUACUUAUUUAAAUAUUUGUUAUUUUGCCUCUUUUAUUUAAAAUUAUGGUUUUAUCUUCAAUGUCAAUGAACUGGCCAUACACUCACACUUUCUUCUGCCUUUGUUUUGCCAUAUAUUUUCAGGGUCGACCCCGAGGCUUCCUCCGACUGUCUGUUAACCAUAUCAGAUCAAAUGCAAAGCUAAGUCGCUUUUUAGUUAUUUAUUUAAAUUCUUUAUCUUUUGUUUUUAGGGUUAACUGUGUUUACCUUCGAACCGAUAAUGCACUCACUCCUUUCUGUUUAUUCUUCCUUUCCAAUUUUCAGGGUUUGAUGACCGCCGAAGCUACGAGUUUGGUAACCCUAAAACCCUAACCUUGAUAUGUUUCUUUGUUUAUUAUUACUUGUGUCAAACCCUAUUAAGGGAUCCACUGGUUACAAUUUCCCGCCCCCUUUAUUGCUUUAUAUUAUUGUGUGGUUAGUAAUUUAGGGAGUGCAAGAUUGUAAUUAACCUAGAAUCACUAAUUUACAAGAUAAUAUAUUGAAUUAACCACGUGAUUGUUGCACACACGCACCCUUUUGGGGUAACCUCUCUGUUGCCUUGUUGCCUGUUGUCUGUUGCCUGUUGCCUUUGUGUUUUUGCAGAAUAAGCUAUGUCCCUCGAAUUUGAGGAUACCUCAGCCAUGCUGCCUCGAUAAUAAAAGGUCAUGCGACCCUAAAUGAUGCUGCCUUCGAUACACAAUUAUGACCUCGACCCUCGGAUGUUGCCUACGGAAAAUGGCUGAGGUAUCUUCUGGAUGCCUACGAAAAGGCUUAUUCUGAUCCUUGCCUUAGACUACCUGCCCCUCUAUGGCAUGGGACAGUCUUAUGGCCAAGGAUGCUUCGACGACCCUUCAACCUCCAAACGAAAGGCUUCCUGCCCUCUUAUGGCAAGGAUAGACCCUUUCAUUCUGAAAGGCUAAAAAGAGACCUAUCAUCUGAGUUUAAGGUAAUUGCCCCUAAUUGCCUUGCAAUGCUCAUCUUUAAUAUUCUUUCUCACAAUUCUUCGAAAACUGGCUACGCUCAUUUACGAGCUAAAGUCCACUUUUUUUCUUUCAUCUACUUUUUCUAAAAACAAACGAGCAAGCAAAGCAAUUAAGAGCCCAUGGAAAACCAUGGAUGCAAAGGGUGCCUUACACCUUCCCUUUGCAUAAAUUACCCCCCGAACUUAGAUUUCUUUAAAAGGUUUUUUUUUGUUUCUUUUAGCCUUUCUGAAUUUGUUUGGAUAAAAUAAAAGUCGGUGGCGACUCUUGCUUAACCGCGACAUUUCGAUUGAUAAAAAGUCAGUUCACCGUAUUACAGAACUGGCGACUCUGCUGGGGAUUUUUCGAUUAAGAGGGGUUACCUUAAAGGUUUAGGAUUCAUUUUAAAAUGUUUUCUAUUGUUUGCUCUGCUUGUUUUAUUUUUCAGGGGCGUUUUGGGAAAACUGAAGGACGAAUCCUAUUCCCGGAUUCAAGAACACCUAAGAUUAGGAGUGGCAUAGUCAUGGAGACCCCCCUUGUGCAUGCUUGGGGUUGGUCAAAAUGAAGUUCACACUUGAGUUAGGCCUCCACUGGUUAUUGUGUACCUCUUUUGCAUGAGAGAGGUUUAUGCAUGUAUCUUUGGGUGCGUCGGAGCUCAAGGACCUUUAGUAACCCUUAACCCAUCCUAACUUUUAGGAACGUAGUGGGGGGGCUAUUCUUGGUGCAUGCCAAGUUAUGGUCGCUACCCGAUACUACAGCUCAGAUAGGUUUCUUCCUAAAGUAUCAUUGCGUGGUAUGCAUGUACCAUGUUCGAGGGUGCUUUAGAGGGGGCUGACAAUUCUGAGUCACUUGGUAGAACCCGUUGCUGAAAUCUCCUUAUCCAUAGAAAUACCCUUGGGAAGGACACCUGAUCAGACUCCAUGCAAGCCUUAAGCCAAAAUUGUGUGACUUGUGUGAAUUGCGUGACUUGUUUGUGUUCACUACUAACCUUCAUUUCCUCGCAGGUUUUGUUGAAAGGACUUGUUUGUCCUUACCAUCUCGCACUAACUCUAACGAACUUCAUUCUCAUAACAUCAUGACAUCAUGACAUCAUAAGCAUAACAUUAUUUAACUAACCCUUUCAAGGAUCCUAGGGAUUUAGGGCGCACAAUUUCAGGUGCCCUUAUCAAAGGUUGAUUUCCUAAUCAAGGGGCAAGAGGAUUUAUUUUUCUCUGGCCACAUACCUUCCAAUUCAAAGACACAGUACCUAAUCAAGGGGCAAGAGGAUUUAUUUUCCUAUAGCCAUAUACUAUCAAAUUUAGAAGUAUCCCGAAUCAGAGGCGAUGACCCACUCGAUAUGGUGAGUUGAUUCUCAAAGAAAGACGUUCAAAGACAAAGUUCGGAUUUCUUCAAACGAAGACGCGACCAAACUAGUUUCUAAUGUUGCUAACUAAAUUCCUAAAGAUCCUUGAAAAGAUUGCAUUUGCAUUCAUAACAUUGCAUAAAACUAACUUUUCAUUUCAGGUCGACCAACCGGUCAUGAAACUAUCAUCAACAAAAUUAAAUGCAUCCUAAAGUAUGGCUCUUUCAGAUAUGGUCUAAUAUACGACUCGUUCUGACAUCCUUCAUCAGAUAUGGUCUAAUGUAUGGCUCGUUCUGAUUGUUCUCCUUCAGAUAUGGUUUAAUGAAUAACUCGUCCUGAUUUCCUACUUCCAGAUAUGGUCUAAUGUACGACUCGUUCUGGCAUCCUUCAUCAGAUAUGGUCUAAUGUAUGGCUCGUUCUGAUUGUUCUCCUUCAGAUAUGGUUUAAUGAGUAACUCGUUCUGAUAUCCUUCAUCAGAUAUGGUUUAAUGUAUGGCUCAUCCUGAUUGUUCUCCUUCAGAUAUGGUUUAAUGAAUAACUCGUUCUGAUUUCCCACUUCCAGAUAUGGUCUAAUGUACGAUCCGUUCUGGCAUUCCUCUUCAGAUAUGGUUUUAUGAAUAACUCGUUCUGAUGUCCUAUGUCAGAUACAUUCCGGAAGCUCGAAUCCCGGAUACUCUGAAUCUCUACACCAGUUCCACAACAACGAAGAAAGCCAGACGUACCCAAGCAUCAAUUCACCAAGAUCAAUAUGUCAUUGGUUCAAGCAUUACAACAUCUAUUGAAGAUCGAACUGAUUACUCUGAGGGACCCUCCUAACAAUGCUAACACCUCCACUCCUGACUAUAAACUCAACGCGAGGUGCGCGUACCAUUCCAACAGUCCUGGACAUUACAAAAACAAUUGCUGGACAUUGAAGAAUAAGAUUCAAGAUCUGAUCAAUGAUGGAGAAAUCUAAUUCACUCCUCUUGAGACUCCUGUGGUGAUCGCCGCUCCUAUGCCUAGUCAUGACAAGACUGAUUGAGAUCUAGACGGACGAACUAUUGGAUCAUUAGAUCUACUUUCAUGUGCAAUUUCUAUUCUGUUUGUUUAAACAUUUGACUCAUGAUAGACAUUAUCUGUUUUAAUAAUUAUCAUCAGUGCAUUGCAUAUGUUUGUCUUGAAUAAAUUAUUUCGUUAUCACUCAUUUUUAAUUAUGUCUUUAUUCCGCAUAUGUUUUUUGUGAUAUUCAACUCCUGCUAAGUUGUAAGCCUUCUGAGGGAGGAUGACGAAAGCGAUACCGCAACCUCAUACAGUAUGCUUUUGAACGGACUAUGUUGACGAUGUACAGGCAUUAUUUCAAUUCCUAAACAGUGGAGAUAUAAGGAUGUUAAUCCCUCGUUAACCCCUUUGAGCCUAAGAAGUGGAAGUUUUCUUUCUUGUACUAAUUAAAACCCUUGAUCAUAACCUGGGGCAGGGUAGUUCUCAGUUAAUUUGGCUGUACAUUCUAUUUUAAGAGAAUCAAUCAGCACACCUUUCAACAAAGGUUUCAAUCAUAAACGUUCAACCAUACACAUCAAAGAAGUGUUGGAGAUGUCAAUCAAAAGACAAUGAUGGUUCAUCAAUCAUUAAGCAACGCAGUCAAUAUCUUUCAAAAGGGAAAAAAUGAAAAAACAUAUACACCAAGAAAAGCCUGCUAAGUCAAAAAUAAAAAAGGUGACUUAGGCAAAAAUCAAGGCAUCCCGCUGACUGUAAUCUAAAAAGAAAAAAAAAAAAAAAAACAGUUCAGACAAAAAUUAGGGAUAUCAAAAGGAUGAAAACAGAGAAGUCAAUAAGUUCCUGAACAACACAAUAUUGUGACUACCAAAAGGAAGAAGUGACUGCCAUCUCAAAAGUUCUCUUUGCUUGUAAACCAUCGUCAUUAUCAAAGGUACAAAUCCAAAAGUCUCUUGGAACCUGAAUGCAUAAGUUGAAUUAACUGAGCUUAGGACUGAAGAUCAUCACGAAGAGGGGUGGGUACAAAUAAACUUUGAGCCUUUAUCUUUUGUUUCUUAAACCGUGAACCAAGCCACGUUACAACCCUUGAAAGUCCUAAUUGAAGCAUGGUUAGUUCAAAAGCAUACUGUCGCCAAAAAGGUAUCCCGACUCCUUAAGGUUUGCUAAAAUGCUGAGUUGCUAUUUCGUUUUUACAACAUCACAUUGUUACAAAUAUCAUGUUUUUACAAAUAUCACGCUUUUACAUCUCUUGUUUUAAUGUUUUUUCAAAAACUCGAGACAAACGUAUGCAUUGCAUCUCACGAAUACAUUAUUAAACAUAUCCUGCUACAUAAUUUCAAAUGUUAGCAUCAGAAAGAACUUGCACAGAGUACAACUAAUGACUGAAAGUUAUCCCGACAAAACAAAAUUACUCCAAGAAGUCAUGUCUCUUACGUAUACAAGGGGCAUGACGCGUUUGGCCCAAUCAAUCUGAGGCAAUCAAGUCGAGAUUCCGAGACUCUCUCAUGGAUGGUCGAACAAUCAGAGGCAUGCAUCCAAGCAUAUCUAAAGCUACUCCCCAAUCAACGCGAGACAUUGUCAUGAGCCUAUGAUUACUGGGGGCAUAUUGCCCAUAGUGUACAUCUCACAGACCUCGUGAGGCGAAUCUUUCCAAAGUUCCUGUUAACUGGGGCAAAUCUAUGCAAGUCCAGUUCAACAUUUCGAUCAAUACUCAGUAGCGUGUCCUGAAUCGAGUAGUAAAUAACUAUGAUACUGGGGGCAACUUUCAAGACACCCACAUCUCCCCACAGAGCCAGAAGAUCAUAUCCCCUCAGAGUAAUCAUUAAGAAGAUAUCUUCAAAUGUGCUCGUCCCGACAAAGACAUGACUCCCCAACAGAGUUUACAUCUUCGACACUAUUAUUUCUCCAACAAGUUGCUCUUCUUCAACAUGGUCCAUUUAUAUCUCUAAAUCAGGAUACAUCAAAUUACUGAUCAUCCCCAAGCAGAAACCGUAAAUCCCCAGCUGAACAUCUUCAAAGAUACAGAGAUUUAUUUUCUCAAUCAAGACAACAUGAAUCAUAUUCACAUAUCACAUGUCAUAAACAUAUUCAUACAAUUGCAUACACGUUCAUACAUAAUACAUAAAACAGCGCGACAAUUGCAUACAUAACAUACGAGGUCCUCAUUUAUUUUGAGAAUCCUGUCACACAAACACAUUGCAUGCAUCAUGACAUGGCAUAAAGAAAACUAACCUCUACUUUUCAGGAUACCACUAUCUCCAUUUACAAGAGUUAAGUCGACACCUUUGACGGUUCCUUAACAAUCUAUUUUCAAGUGUUAAGUCGAUACCUUUGACGGUUCCUUAAUAUAUCAAGAGUUAAGUCGACACCUUUGACGGUUCCUUAACAACACAUUUCAGAUAUAAGUCGACACCUUUGACGGUUCCUUAUACAAUCCAUCUACAUAUCUGAGUCGAUACCUUUGACGGUGCCUCAAUGAUAUGCUUCAGAGUUAAGUCGAUACCUUUGACGGUUCCUUAACAACCCACAUCAAGAGUUAAGUCGACACCUUUGACGGUUCCUUAACAACACAUUUCAGAUAUAAGUCGACACCUUUGACGGCUCCUUAUACAAUCUGUCUGCAUAUCUGAGUCGAUACCUUUGACGGUGCCUCAACAAUAUGCUUCAAAUUUAAGUCGAUACCUUUGACGGUUCCUUAAAUAACCCAACACAGAUUUGAGUCGAUACCUUUGACGGUUCCUCAACAUUCAAAAAAAAGAAGACAACAAAAGCAGAAAUUUUGCAACAAUCCAUACUCCAACAACUACCAGAUGGCAUCCUUAAAGCCCAUCUCCAACAAGAGUCCCUACCUCAGCUAGGGCAAAUUUCUUGGUAUUCUAGUGUUCAAUCCUCUUCUACCUUCAGAUUCCGACUGGCAUACAAUCCACUCUACAUCUUCAGGUUUAAGAAAAUUGAACAGGGGCAGCUGUCAUACCCCAAAAUUUGCCCUCAUAUAUUUACAAACGCCAUUUUAUUUCGAAUAAAUGAAUUGGCACAGUUGGUAAGAAUUUGAGCGUGAAAAGCACAAUAGUGAGAGCUCCCUGGUUCGAUUCCCACUUCUAACAUUUUUCUUUGUUUCUAACAUUAGUUUUAAUUUUAUUUUACAUUCAAAAAUCACAAAAAAAAAUAUAUAUAUAUACAUCUUAUUGUUAAUUUUUCGUAUUUAUUAUUUAAACUUUUUUUAAAAAUAUUAAUUUACUCAAAUUUUCCAUUUUUUAUAUAAAACAAAAAAAAAACAAUCAUAAAAUAAAAAGAUUUGAAAAGAUUUUAUGCUUUUUUGCAUUUUAGGUUAGUAUUUGUAGUUUUAGGAAAGAAUUGACAUAAUUGAUUAAAUAUAAUCAUAAAUCUCAAAUCAAAUAAUUUUAAUUUUGGGGUUUUGAUUAUUUUAAUUAAUUAUGAUUAAUUUGAUUUUAUGCAUUCUUUAACUUUUUAACCUAAUCUCCCCUCUUAUAAAUAUUCACUCUUUUCACACAUAUAGGGGUGGAUCCCGAACCCUUAUUCCAAUGGCUCGCUCUCACGGACAAUACAUACAAAACUUCUUUCUUAGAUCGAAGUUUUUUGUCUCUUUUGAGUCAAACCCUCAACCCUUGAACUUUCUGCAACAACAAGAAUCCACCAUUUUAUUUGUUGCAGGUAAAGAGGAAAAGAAGAAGAUUCUAAACGGCAGCAAACUCCGACUACGAUGUCGCCUCCUCACGGUCCAGACGAUCUCCAUCGAAGCCAACGCUGGAACCCUCCACCGUGCCCAAUCACCACCGCUCGCCGCCAUUAGAACCACUCUAUCUUCCGCCGAUUGUGUUGUUGUGUUUACCAUGAUUCAGUUUUUUUUCUUUGUUUUGCUGUAGGUAUAUUAGGAGAAAUUAGAACAAAAGGAUUAAAAGAAGACGAAUUUGGGGCCAAUCACAAAUCUGUGAUGAACUCGCCACUCCAAAAGCUCGACGUCACCAUCGGAAAUCCGCUGUUCGAUCACUGGAUCACAUCCUUGGCCGCCAGCGAUCAUCACCUCCGACCCGCAAUUGCGGAUCUCCGGCGCAGCCGCUCUCACCGUGUUCCAUCCAGGUUUCUGUUAAAAAAGAUUCAAGAGGUCAUCCAUGGCUCUGUCAACAGCCGAAGAUCCCUCCGCCCUCGCCGAAGAAUCUGAUCCCCGCAACAGCCGGUCGGAGCUUCCCCCAGCGCAAAUCACGCACCAUCCUCCUCCACCGAAUCUGCACUGUAUCUAGCUAUUUGCCACUGUCAAUUCCAUACAGCCACCACAACAGGUACAUCCGAGCUGUUCAUCUAUUCUUGCAAAUAUUCGCAAAUUCAUCCUCAAUCUCCUACCAUCCAGAUCUAACGCACACAAAGCUGAAGGUUUACCAUGCACCCUCAAAGGCUGCCACAAUGAACCAAAGCUAAGUCCUGACUCUAUACUUAUUUAAAUAUUUGUUAUUUUGCCUCUUUUAUUUAAAAUUAUGGUUUUAUCUUCAAUGUCAAUGAACUGGCCAUACACUCACACUUUCUUCUGCCUUUGUUUUGCCAUAUAUUUUCAGGGUCGACCCCGAGGCUUCCUCCGACUGUCUGUUAACCAUAUCAGAUCAAAUGCAAAGCUAAGUCGCUUUUUAGUUAUUUAUUUAAAUUCUUUAUCUUUUGUUUUUAGGGUUAACUGUGUUUACCUUCGAACCGAUAAUGCACUCACUCCUUUCUGUUUAUUCUUCCUUUCCAAUUUUCAGGGUUUGAUGACCGCCGAAGCUACGAGUUUGGUAACCCUAAAACCCUAACCUUGAUAUGUUUCUUUGUUUAUUAUUACUUGUGUCAAACCCUAUUAAGGGAUCCACUGGUUACAAUUUCCCGCCCCCUUUAUUGCUUUAUAUUAUUGUGUGGUUAGUAAUUUAGGGAGUGCAAGAUUGUAAUUAACCUAGAAUCACUAAUUUACAAGAUAAUAUAUUGAAUUAACCACGUGAUUGUUGCACACACGCACCCUUUUGGGGUAACCUCUCUGUUGCCUUGUUGCCUGUUGUCUGUUGCCUGUUGCCUUUGUGUUUUUGCAGAAUAAGCUAUGUCCCUCGAAUUUGAGGAUACCUCAGCCAUGCUGCCUCGAUAAUAAAAGGUCAUGCGACCCUAAAUGAUGCUGCCUUCGAUACACAAUUAUGACCUCGACCCUCGGAUGUUGCCUACGGAAAAUGGCUGAGGUAUCUUCUGGAUGCCUACGAAAAGGCUUAUUCUGAUCCUUGCCUUAGACUACCUGCCCCUCUAUGGCAUGGGACAGUCUUAUGGCCAAGGAUGCUUCGACGACCCUUCAACCUCCAAACGAAAGGCUUCCUGCCCUCUUAUGGCAAGGAUAGACCCUUUCAUUCUGAAAGGCUAAAAAGAGACCUAUCAUCUGAGUUUAAGGUAAUUGCCCCUAAUUGCCUUGCAAUGCUCAUCUUUAAUAUUCUUUCUCACAAUUCUUCGAAAACUGGCUACGCUCAUUUACGAGCUAAAGUCCACUUUUUUUCUUUCAUCUACUUUUUCUAAAAACAAACGAGCAAGCAAAGCAAUUAAGAGCCCAUGGAAAACCAUGGAUGCAAAGGGUGCCUUACACCUUCCCUUUGCAUAAAUUACCCCCCGAACUUAGAUUUCUUUAAAAGGUUUUUUUUUGUUUCUUUUAGCCUUUCUGAAUUUGUUUGGAUAAAAUAAAAGUCGGUGGCGACUCUUGCUUAACCGCGACAUUUCGA